GCACCUCAGCAACCCUGUCAAUUCUGUUCAGUGUUUGAUUUGGGUAACGCAUGGUGCCAAAGAGACUCAAAAUAAAUCCAGAUGGCUCUCGUCUUUGUGGAGGCUGUCUCUACAGUUUUGAUACACAA
ensembl:snoRNA small nucleolar RNA SNORA55